CAGGCGUUCAAAUGCGCCGCUUAUUGACGAAGGAAUCGGUUCUACAACGUUCUCGACGAUACUUUGGACCCGCCUCUGAGAUACGGCAACUGCAAAUGGCAAAGGGGAAACGGUCUCAAGGUGAGUGGGUAAUGACAAGAGACAAAGCCACGGAGCAAUGUGUUGCUGACCACCGGCAACAUCCCCAUCCCCGCAGCAACACCAACGUCACUCCGGCUGAAUGUGUAAGUUUUCGAUGAGAUGUUGCCAAACGGCGGACGUGACGUUGAAAAUACAAGCGCAAGAUGAAAAUUAUAAACAAAGCAGAAAUCUAUAAUAUAUUCUACACUUGGUGUCGCAGCUAUAGCAAUUAACUAAGGAAAAAAAUUGAACUGUAUAAGGUAAAAAAAUUAUAGCGUACCAAAAAAAUAAAAAAAAUUGUAUUGUUCAAAGCAACAAACUCAA